AGCGAACGCUGGCGGCAGGCCUAACACAUGCAAGUCGAACGAACCUUUCGGGGUUAGUGGCGGACGGGUGAGUAACACGUGGGAACGUGCCUUUAGGUUCGGAAUAACUCAGGGAAACUUGUGCUAAUACCGAAUGUGCCCUUCGGGGGAAAGAUUUAUCGCCUUUAGAGCGGCCCGCGUCUGAUUAGCUAGUUGGUUGAGGUAAUGGCUCACCAAGGCGACGAUCAGUAGCUGGUCUGAGAGGAUGAUCAGCCACAUUGGGACUGAGACACGGCCCAAACUCCUACGGGAGGCAGCAGUGGGGAAUCUUGCGCAAUGGGCGAAAGCCUGACGCAGCCAUGCCGCGUGAAUGAUGAAGGUAUUAGGAUUGUAAAAUUCUUUCACCGGGGACGAUAAUGACGGUACCCGGAGAAGAAGCCCCGGCUAACUUCGUG
rnacentral:rRNA from 1 species